ACAAGGCCUCCUGCCAUGAAUCUAACUUCGAGUAACGGGAAUCUGCAUGAAAAACAAGUCAACAACCAAUCUUUAAUUUAAUCACACCAUUCACAAUAACAAGACACUAAUUAACUAUGACUCGAGUCUAACUCUUAACACCGUAUUCCGGUGUUACCACUCACUCUAGGGUUUCAACCCUCUACUAUACACGACACUCUAAUUGGGCCCAACAAAAUCAUUCUUCCUCCACACAAGGGACACUGGCAAUC
rnacentral:lncRNA from 1 species